rnacentral:piRNA from 1 species
UAGGUCUUUUUAUAGAUGUGCAAGCUGAGG